UCUUGGUGCACAAAUGCUUGCAUGCGCGUCAGAAGACUGAAUUUCCACUUGUCAUUUGUCAUGGUGUUUGGAGGACUGAUUGAACCGCCGGCUUCUGAGGGUUAUCUUGAUUUUUGCCUUCCACCUUGCCACAGGAGUGCUGGGACCACACAACUAUGUCUAGCGUUACACGGAUCCUGGAGACUCAAACCCAGGCCCCCAUGCUUGUGUGGCAAGCCCUUUACCCACUGCCGGCUAGUUUUAUGUCAAAUUAGUACAAGUUAGGGUUAUCUGAGAGGAGGGAACCUCAGUAAAGAAAAAUGCCUCCGUAAGAGCAGGCUGUAGGCCAGCCUGUAGGGAAUUUUCUUGGUUACUGAUUGAUAAUGGAGGGCCCAGCCCAUUGCGGACCUUGCCACCCCUGGGCUGGCCGUGCUGUAAGAAAGCUGGCUGCCGAGUAUCAAGCCAGUAAGCAGUCUUUCUCCAUGGCCUUUGUAUCUGCUCCUGCCUCUAGGUUCCUAGCCUGCUUGAGUCCCUGUCCUAACUUCCUCAGUGACGGACUGGCCUGUGGAACUAUAAGUUAAAAUAAACCUUUUCUACCCC
rnacentral:lncRNA from 1 species